UGGGGAAUUUUGGACAAUGGGCGAAAGCCUGAUCCAGCAAUGCCGCGUGUGUGAAGAAGGCCUUCGGGUUGUAAAGCACUUUUGUCCGGAAAGAAAUCCUUGGCUCUAAUACAGUCGGGGGAUGACGGUACCGGAAGAAUAAGCACCGGCUAACUACGUGCCAGCAGCCGCGGUAAUACGUAGGGUGCAAGCGUUAAUCGGAAUUACUGGGCGUAAAGCGUGCGCAGGCGGUUUGCUAAGACCGAUGUGAAAUCCCCGGGCUCAACCUGGGAACUGCAUUGGUGACUGGCAGGCUAGAGUAUGGCAGAGGGGGGUGAGAAUUCCACGUGUAGCAGUGAAAUGCGUAGAGAUGUGGAGGAAUACCGAUGGCGAAGGCAGCCCCUGGCAAGUACUGACGCUCAUGCACG
rnacentral:rRNA from 1 species